AGAGUUUGAUCCUGGCUCAGAACGAACGCUGGCGGCAGGCCUAACACAUGCAAGUCGAACGCUCCGCAAGGGGAGUGGCGCACGGGAGAGUAACGCGUGGGAACCUACCUAUUGGUUCGGAACAACACCGGGAAACUGGUGCUAAUACCGGAUAAGCCCGAGAGGGGAAAGAUUUAUCGCCGAUAGAUGGGCCCGCGUUAGAUUAGCUUGUUGGUGAGGUAAAAGCUCACCAAGGCGACGAUCUAUAGCUGGUCUGAGAGGAUGAUCAGCCUCACUGGGACUGAGACACGGCCCAGACUCCUACGGGAGGCAGCAGUGGGGAAUAUUGGACAAUGGGGGCAACCUUGAUCCAGCCAUGCCGCGUGAAUGAUGAAGGCCUUCGGGUUGUAAAGUUCUUUUGGUAGGGACGAUGAUGACGGUACCUUCAGAAUAAGCUCCGU
rnacentral:rRNA from 1 species